rnacentral:rRNA from 1 species
UACGUAGGGUGCGAGCGUUAAUCGGAAUUACUGGGCGUAAAGCGUGCGCAGGCGGUUUUGUAAGCCGGAUGUGAAAUCCCCGGGCUUAACCUGGGAAUGGCAUUUGGGACUGCAAGGCUGGAGUGUGGCAGAGGAGACUGGAAUUCCUGGUGUAGCAGUGAAAUGCGUAGAUAUCAGGAGGAAUACCGAUGGCGAAGGCAGGUCUCUGGGCUAACACUGACGCUGAGUGCGCGAAAGCCAGGGGAGCAAACGGG